GACGAACUGUCCUAACGUUGUUCGGAAUCACUGGGCUUAAAGGGCGCGUAGGCGGUCCGACAAGUCAGGGGUGAAAUCCUGCAGCUUAACUGCAGAAGUGCCUUUGAUACUGUCGGUCUCGAGGGAGAUAGGGGUGUGCGGAACUUCCAGUGGAGCGGUGAAAUGCGUUGAUAUUGGAAGGAACGCCGGAGGCGAAAGCGGCGCACUGGAUCUCGUUCUGACGCUGAGGCGCGAAAGCUAGGGGAGCAAACGGGG
rnacentral:rRNA from 1 species